rnacentral:rRNA from 1 species
GACGAACGCUGGCGGCGUGCCUAACACGUGCACGUGGAACGGAGAAAUUCAGCCAGGGAUUUCUUAGUGGCGAACGGGGGAGUAACGCGUAGAGAACCUGCCUCUACGAUGGGGACAACAACUCGACAGGGUUGCUAAUACGGAAUGUGAACAGUGCCUCGCAUGAGAUGCUGUUUGAAGGUGGCCGUUGAAUAUGCUACCGCUUGGAGGUGGGUCUGCGUCUGAUUCGCUAGUUGGAGGGGUAAUGGCCCACCAAGGCGACGAUCAGUAGCCGGUCUGAGAGGAUGAACAGCCACACUGGGACUGAGACACGGCCCAGACUCCUACGGGAGGCAGCAGUGGGGAAUCUUCCGCAAUGGACGCAAGUCUGACGGAGCAACGCCGCGUGAGUGAAGAAGGGUUUCGGAUCGUAAAGCUCUGUUUUAAGGGACGAAUAUGCAGAUUGUAAAUAAUGGUUUGCAAUGACGUAACCUGAGGAGGAAGCCACGCUUAACUACGUGCCACCAGCCGCGGUAA